GGGCUGGGGGCUGGGGGCAGCCCCUGCCCAAUCCUAGCUACUGUGUUUCUGGUGUGCAGCACAAUGCCAGUUUUGCCCGGUCGGCUGGCUCUGGGAUGCAGGGCAGUGCUACUACUUCUCAUCUGCCAAAAAGACCUGGGAGAAAAGCAGAGAGGACUGCUGCUCCAGAGGGGCACAGCUGGUCACCAUCCAAGACAACACUACCCUGGCUUUCCUGAUGCGCACCACGGACAUGGAGGUCUUCCAUGUGGGGCUGAAGAAGGAUGGCUUUGCAUCUGACUGGAAGUGGCUGGAUGGCACCACAUUGAAGGGGAUCUUCCUAAUCCAUCGCUACACCAGGUCUUACCAGGCCUGUGGCAGGCUGUCAGGCUUGGGGCUGUCGGGUGGUCUGUGCUCGGAACCCCUUGGAUGGGUCUGCAAGCAGAGUGCAGCCACCCUGCAGUGGCUCCAGUCCUCGCCUCCUUCCUUCAUCUGGGGAAACACCACCUACAGCUGUGUGAGGCCCUGAUGGCUGUGGGAACCUCCAGCCUGUCCCACCACCAUGUUCCCUGCCUGACUCCAGUUCAUGGGCAUUCGCAGGCACUGACUGCUGCCUCCUGGCUCAGACCUCUUUAUUUCCCUGUAACUGCAUUUUGCCAAUAAACUCUGCCAAAAACUGUG
rnacentral:lncRNA from 1 species